CCUCCAUCCCCCUCCGAGACGAUACACAAAGAAGCUGAGAACAGGCCAUCAGUAUUAUUCUUCACAGUAACCAAAAGCAGGGAACAACCCGGGUGUCCGGCCGCUGACGAGUGGUGGGUGGAUGACACCCGCGGUCCGGCCGCUCAGCGGAACAGUGUUCCGCCAGCGAGGGGUGAAGCGGACACCGUGACCACACGGACGAGCCUUGGGAAGCUGAGGCUGUGUGAAGGCUUAGAAGGACAAGAGCAGUGUGAUUCCACCUGUGGGAAAUGCCCCACACGGGCACGUCUGUUCAGACCGAAACCCAGCGGUGGGGACAGGGGAAGGGGGCGACUGUUUAACAGACGCAGAAUUUCAGGUUGGGAGGCUGAAAAGUUUCUGGGAGCAGACAGGGGUGGUGGCUGCACAGACCGUGAACGUGACUCAGCCCCACCGGGUUGCGCUCUUGAAAACGGCCGAGGUGGCGGAAGCUCUGGUCUAUGUGUGUCGUCACUGCAGUCGGGGGCUCGGUCGUCUCUGACUCUUGGCGACCCUGGGGACUGUAGCCUGCCAGGCUCCCCUGUCUAUGGGAUCCUCCAGGCAAGAAUAUGGGAGUGGGUUGCCAUGCCCUCCUCCAGGGAAUCUUCCCGACCCCGGGGAUUGAACCCGAGUCUCCUACAUUGGCAGGUGGAUUCCUUACCACUGACCCACCCGGGAAGCUGCAAAAGAAUUAACAAAAUAUAUCCAAACUCACUGAAUUGUGCGCUUGGACUGGGUGCACUGAGCGGUCUGUCAAGCAUGCCUCAAGAAAGCCCUUAUAAGAGAAGAAGAGAUGCCCCAGAUCUGAGUGCUUCCUGAGCAGGUCGCCAAGGAUCUGCCCACCAGGCCCUGCUACCAACCCCACGAGGCAGGGGGUCGCAUCUUAGGGGGCUGCCAGGGGCCGCUGGGGAGGCAGCCCCGAGGGAUCCGACUCUCUGUUCUGGAAACAGACAUGGGGCCUAGCCUUCCCGGUCACCCACCACCCCCCUUAGAUGGGUGUGCGGUCCUCAGUCAAGGGCAGCCUCUGGGGUCCGGGGGCUGGGAGAGGCCCCUGCGGGGGCUGAUGUAGCCCUCCUCAGCUCAGCUCGCCAGUUCUCUGUGGGACAGAGACCCCUGAGCGUGCAGGCCCCUGAGGGUGGGGUGACAGCCCCCUCUCUGCCUGACAUCGGGUCGCUUUAGGACAGGGCCGGUUCGGAGCCAGGCCGAGCCAGGCC
rnacentral:lncRNA from 1 species